rnacentral:rRNA from 1 species
GUAGGUGGCAAGCGUUGUCCGGGAAUUAUUGGGGCGUAUAGCGCGCGCAGGCGGUUCGUUUAAGUCUGAUGUGAAAGCCCACGGGCUCAACCGUGGAGGGUCAUUGGAAACUGGAGAACUUGAGUACAGAAGAGGAAAGCGGAAUUCCACGUGUAGCGGUGAAAUGCGUAGAGAUGUGGAGGAACACCAGUGGCGAAGGCGGCUUUCUGGUCUGUAACUGACGCUGAGGCGCGAAAGCGUGGGGAGCAAACAGGAUUAGAUACCCUGGUAGUCCACGCCGUAAACGAUGAGUGCUAAGUGUUAGGGGGCUUCCGCCCCUUAGUGCUGCAGCUAACGCAUUAAGCACUCCGCCUGGGGAGUACGGCCGCAAAGGCUG